AUACGGAGGGUGCGAGCGUUAAUCGGAAUUACUGGGCGUAAAGCGUACGUAGGCGGUUGGUUAAGUUAGAUGUGAAAGCCCCGGGCUUAACCUGGGAACUGCAUUUAAAACUGGCGAACUAGAGUUGAGUAGAGGGGAGUGGAAUUUCAGGUGUAGCGGUGAAAUGCGUAGAGAUCUGAAGGAACACCAGUGGCGGAGGCGACUCCCUGGACUCGAACUGACGCUGAGGUACGAAAGCGUGGGUAGCAAACGGGAUUAGAAACCCGAGUAGUCC
rnacentral:rRNA from 1 species